rnacentral:rRNA from 1 species
UGGGGAAUAUUGGACAAUGGGCGCAAGCCUGAUCCAGCCAUGCCGCGUGGGUGAAGAAGGCCUUCGGGUUGUAAAGCCCUUUUGUUGGGAAAGAAAAGCGAUCGGUUAAUACCCGGUUGUUCUGACGGUACCCAAAGAAUAAGCACCGGCUAACUUCGUGCCAGCAGCCGCGGUAAUACGAAGGGUGCAAGCGUUACUCGGAAUUACUGGGCGUAAAGCGUGCGUAGGUGGUGGUUUAAGUCUGCUGUGAAAGCCCUGGGCUCAACCUGGGAAUUGCAGUGGAUACUGGGUCACUAGAGUGUGGUAGAGGGUAGUGGAAUUCCCGGUGUAGCAGUGAAAUGCGUAGAGAUCGGGAGGAACACCAGUGGCGAAGGCGACUACCUGGACCAACACUGACACUGAGGCACGAAAGCGUGGGGAGCAAACAGGAUUAGAUACCCCCGUAGUCC